GAGGCGGCUGCUGCUGCUGGGCAGAGAGGAGUCGUGCAGGAGCAGCGACCGCACUCGGACGCCACAUUCCCUCUUUACGGGGCUGGUGGUGAGGAUGAGCGAGAGCUGACCCUGCCGCGCCGCCGCCUGUGCUGUGAAGUGUCUGCUCCUCCUCCUCCUUCUCUUCCUCCUCCUCCCCGGCUGUGGGUGAACCUGCGCUACGGGCUCUUCACCGACACGGGGGAGGUUGGUUUGUUUGUGCAUUUGUUUAAGGCAAAGAGAGAGAAAGAGAGAUCUCCCACCCGCUGAAGGACAGUUCACUAUGAUCGUACUCGCAUCCAGCACUGGAAGCCGGUUGGAUUUCGUGUCUCAGUCCAGGGUGUUUUUCUUGCAAACCUUCAUUUGGAUUUUAUGUGCUACAGUGUGCAAAGCGGAGCAGUAUUUCAAUGUGGAGGUCACUGCCUUUGGCCACUGCUGGUGACAUGGUCCUGGCCUAAAUGAACCUCAGAUUUGCCCCAGAACAGCCAUUGCUGUGUUCACAUUGUUGGAUAGUGCUGAAAAUUCAAUUUUCUUUUUGCUGGGAACAGCAAAGGCUAAAAGCAAGGGAAAUUUGAGGCAAAGGACUUGGCAACAGCAAGUAUGUAUUGUGCUGUAAAACUCUGCAUGUCAGCACAAGUGCAUAAAGCAGUUGUACUUCAGAGUAAAUUGUGAAAAUAUGACAAAGAUUUCUUAUGACAA